rnacentral:rRNA from 1 species
GACGUAGGGGGCCAGCGUUGUUCGGAAUUACUGGGUGUAAAGGGUUCGUAGGCGGUGCGGCAAGUUGGGAGUGAAAUCUCUGGGCUUAACCCAGAGGCUGCUUCCAAAACUGCUGUGCUUGAGUGUGGGAGAGGCGCGUGGAAUUGCAGGUGUAGCGGUGAAAUGCGUAGAGACCCGGAGGAACGCCAGUGGCGAAGGCGGCAUCCUGGUCUGCGACUGACGCUGUGGCGCGAAAGCUAGGGGAGCGAACGGG